GUGGAUUAGAUACCCUGGUAGUCCACGCCCUAAACGAUGUCAACUAGGUGUUGGGUGGGUAAAACCAUUUAGUACCGUAGCUAACGCGUGAAGUUGACCGCCUGGGGAGUACGGCCGCAAGGUUAAAACUCAAAGGAAUUGACGGGGACCCGCACAAGCGGUGGAUGAUGUGGAUUAAUUCGAUGCAACGCGAAAAACCUUACCUACCCUUGACAUGUCCAGAAGCUCUUAGAGAUUUGAGUGUGCCCGAAAGGGAGCUGGAACACAGGUGCUGCACGGCCGUCGACAACU
rnacentral:rRNA from 1 species